rnacentral:rRNA from 1 species
GAUGAACGCUGGCGGCGUGCCUAAUACAUGCCAGUCGAGCGAACAGAUAAGGAGCUUGCUCCUUUGACGUUAGCGGCGGACGGGUGAGUAACACGUGGGUAACCUACCUAUAAGACUGGGAUAACUUCGGGAAACCGGAGCUAAUACCGGAUAACAUUUGGAACCGCAUGGUUCUAAAGUGAAAGAUGGUUUUGCUAUCACUUAUAGAUGGACCCGCGCCGUAUUAGCUAGUUGGUAAGGUAACGGCUUACCAAGGCAACGAUACGUAGCCGACCUGAGAGGGUGAUCGGCCACACUGGAACUGAGACACGGUCCAGACUCCUACGGGAGGCAGCAGUAGGGAAUCUUCCGCAAUGGGCGAAAGCCUGACGGAGCAACGCCGCGUGAGUGAUGAAGGGUUUCGGCUCGUAAAACUCUGUUAUUAGGGAAGAAAAAAUGUGUAAGUAACUGUGCACGUCUUGACGGUACCUAAUCAGAAAGCCACGGCUAACUACGUG